AAGUAUUUAAUCUAACUAAGAUAAUUGAUUUCGACUCAAUCUAUCAUGGCCUGAACCCAUGAAUACUUU
rnacentral:tRNA from 1 species